UUGAUCUUGAGUUGAUCUUGAGAGGAAAAUCAAUCAAAUUUAGAUUGAGAUGAGAUGAGCCAACAACAGCCUCAUUGUCAAGCCACUAUUAUCAUGCCUUACGCUCAGCCUCGGCUCUCAUUUCCGGCUUCAGCCUCCAUGGCCUCCAUGCCCCAAACUCAAACUCAAAUCCCGGUUUAUCAGCUCUCAUUUCCGGCUUCAGCCUCCAUGGCCUCCAUGCCCCAAACUCAAGCUCAAGUACACACUAACCUUCAGCCUCAAGCUCAAGCUCAAGUACACACUAACUAUGCGGAUCAAUUUUUCAUCCCUUUUCCUCCUCCUCAACCUCCCGCUUCAGCUCCGGCGAGUUCUUCUCAUAAACCUGAACAUCUAAUGCACAAGAAUCGCCUACAAGAAUGGACUCAGAAGUUGAACAUACCAUUGCCCAUUUAUCAAACCGUUAAUGAAGGAUUUCAAAACGCCCUACAGUUUAGAGCAAUUGUAUUAGUUGAUGGUGUCAAAUAUACUUCUCAAAAGACUUUUUCCACCAGUAAAGCUGCUGAACAAGAUGUUGCUGAACCGAACUUGCGCUGAACUAUAUAUCCCAGAAAAAGCCUGAUGAUGGAUUUCCACGGGGAUUUCCAGAUGCAUUGCCUCUUAUUCACAAGGACACAGUCUUUUGCAAGUCUAUCUUGAAUGAAUUUACUACUAAGAUGAAUAUGAAAAUGUCUACUUACAACACCAUUAAACCCGAAAGAUUGCUUCCGGUGUUCAAUUCUUCUUUGGUUUUAAAUGGUGUUUCUUACACUGGUGGUGCCGGUAAAAAUAAGAAAGAGGCUGAACAAUUGGCGGCUCGUACCUU